UCCAGCCCUCUCCUCACCCUCCAGCCCUCUCCUCAACCCCCAGUCCUCCCCUCACCCUCCAACAUACACAUACAUGUCAAACUAUUUAACAGGGGAGAUCUGCCGGGAGGAGGAGGAGGAAGUAUGUAUGUAAAUAUGAUUUGCUGUAUGUGUUAAUUUAUAGAAGAUCCUGCUCAGGCAUUUGAAACCGUCAGCAAGGUCCCUGUGUGAGAGGGUUAACUGUGCUUCAUGCAGAAUGGUCCCUGUGUGAGAGGGUUAACUGUGCUUCAUGCAGCAAGGUCCCUGUGUGAGAGGGUUAACUGUGCUUCAUGCAGAAUGGUCCCUGUGUGAGAGGGUUAACUGUGCUUCAUGCAGCAAGGUCCCUGUGUGAGAGGGUUAACUGUGCUUCAUGCAGCAAGGUCCCUGUGUGAGAGGGUUAACUGUGCUUCAUGCUUGAUGAAUGCUGACUGCAGCCUAGUUCUUGUUCCACACAUGUAUGUAAGAAUGUGUUACAUUUGUCCUCUCAUUCAUGAAAAAACCCCAAGAGCUUCUGUUGUUGAAGAGGAGAUGCAGAGAACAUGACAAAUAUGCAUUUAUAGUUAUUUAACACUGUAUAGUCACAUCCAGCUCUAUUUAUCCUGAUCUGGUCGGACACACACACACACGGACACACACGGACACACACACACACACACGGACACACACACACACACGGACGAACGUCAAGCUGACAGGAGGUGAACCAGUCUCAAUGCAACUCCAAAUAAACCAUGUGUAAAUAC